rnacentral:lncRNA from 1 species
UUAAUUGCAUAUUUAUUGUUGGAUUGCAUUGAAAUUUAAUCUAAAUUAAUUGACUUUAAUUUUUUAUUUUGGACGAAACACAUUCUAAAAACUAAUACAUUUUGCAUGUUUUUGACAGGUCCAUCGAUUGUUCAUCUUCCUAUAUUGAUAGACCAUGUGGAAUUAGCGUUUUAACCCUUAUUUAAAUUACUCACCCUAGGUCCAAAAUUUCUGUCAAAACUAAAGAUUUGAUCCAA